rnacentral:sRNA from 1 species
CUUCUUCGAUCUGCUGCGGGCAGAUGAAGUGGAUAUGGGUGUCGACGCCGCCGGCGGUGAGGAUCAUGCCCUCGCCGGCGAUCACUUCGGUGGCACCGCCGAUGGCGAUGGUGACAAAGGGCUGGAUAUCCGGGUUGCCGGCCUUGCCGAUGGCAGCGAUGCGCCCGCCCUUGAGGCCUACGUCGGCCUUGACGAUGCCCCAGUGGUCGAUGAUCAGCGCGUUGGUGAUCACCGUGUCGACCACGUCCUCGGCGCACAGCUGGCUCUGGCCCAUGCCGUCGCGGAUG